GGCUCCGAGGAGCUCCAGCCAGGGCCGCGGUGCGCCUGCACGUCACGGCUGCUCAAACCCAAGCACGUCCCGAAAGCGGUAUUUUCUGCGUCUGGGAGGUUUUUGCAUCCUCAGUUCCCACCGCUGGGGCUGGCGGCGACCAACUCAGGGACCUGACGCAGCCAGAGAGCUGUCAUUUCAGCACCGGGAUUCCGAAUUGAUCCAGUUCGCAGUGGAGGGGGCACAUCCCAGCUCCCGAGCUGCUGCGUGUCUCUCGCUGGAACAAUAGUAGUUUUUCUCUGGGAGGCUGCAAUUAACAUCUUAUUUGUUCUGGCUCCAUACAGGCUUUGUCAGGACCGCGGUGCGGCGACUGAGUUAUACUAGAAAUCAAGAUUCUUCAUUCCUCAUUAAGGACAAGAAGCUGUGAAUUCUCUGGACUUCAGUUAUCUCACAGAAAAGAGCUUGAUUGAGUAAUGUCUAAUGUUCUUCCUGACAUAUUCUAAAUAACAGAGGGUGUCUCACAAGAAAUAGAAGCAGGGUGAGAAAAAUGCAACAAAAUCCUAGACAAGAAAGAAUCAGUUUUUUCACUCACAGGCUGGGAAUGCCUCUCUAUUCUAUCAUAAUUUGAACACCUCCAUAGUUUUACUAGCUUUGCCCUUCCCACCUUGCUAUCAUCUGCUGAUGUACAGACAGUCCUUUCCAUUUUUAUUAUUCUCCCACUCUAAUAAUUUUCUUUUCUUAGACAGACUUUACCAUUAAUGAUGACAGUAACUAAAGCUGCCAGGACCAGCACAUCUGCUGACCUUUAUCAACACCAGGUAAUGAAGUCUCUGGACCACCCAUUAUUUCUGAACAUUCGUCGAUAUUCAGCCCUGUUCCUACCAAUUCUGAUCCACUUAUCUCCACCAUUUCUCUUC